GCCCUUUUUCAAACUUUUUUGGGCCAGGGACCAGCAAGGCAUGGCUUAUUCCUCUGGGGACCGCUUUGGUAUGCAGAGGUGGAGGCAUACAAAGAUGGGCGGACCGGAAACCCAGUGACAACACUUGGGUCUGUAGCUGCCAUUUUCCGGUGGGAAAGAGAAAUGGCCCUGUAUUUACCAGAAAAGUCCAAUAGGAGUGCAUCCCUCAGGCCAUCCGGUGCAUAGACAUCUUGUGCCAGUGUGAUCCAGUUGUGGAGACAUAUAGCAGAUCGAGCCUGUGGACGGACA